GCCGCAGUGCCUCAGGGGCCCCGUUCUGUGGCAACCUCUUUGCUUUCUUUGCUUUGUCUGUUCUCAAGUCGGUGAGGCCUGAGGCAACUAGGUCAGGGAGCAAAGACCACGCGGUGACAGGCCAGGAGGCCGGCUUUGGCAAGGGCGGGACCGUGAGCAGGGCUCACCGGAAGCAGCUGCACCAAGGCAGAGCUGGGAUAACUGAGGCCUUUUCUCCGGGCACCUCAGAGCAAUUUAUUCUGCCUCGGCACACCCUUAGCUUCCAAAGGUCUGGGAUCAGACCACAAGCCUCAAGUUCUCUGAAGGGGAAAGCCUCUCUGCCCCACUAACCACCACCCGUGUCUGUGUCUGUGUCGAUCAGCAGGGACUGCUCAGCCGCACAUUGGAGUCCUGGUGUCCAUAAGGAAGACCGAAGACGCUGGGCUGGGCACCUACAUUCUCAGCCAUUUCCACCUGCCCGUGCGUGAGAGAAGGUUUCGAUGGUAGGAAGGCAGGCAACGGGGAAACUGAGAGGGACGGAGCUCCCGAGAAGCAGAAAGCAGCAGCGCCCGCUCGGAGCCCUAGGGAAGAGUCAAAAACUACCAUUCACGAUCGUAGAUUUUCCAGCAGAAGGUGCCAGAACUCCAUCACGGUGCUGGUCAGCAUGCCGUGACCAAGCGGAGAGGACUCCCGGAGCAGCCGUCUCAGACACAAGGGUGGACACGAGCAUCUUAAAAGACUGAUGUUCUGCCAAAUAUGCUGACAUACUUUAGGCAAUACUGGCCUCAUCUCUACCUAACAACCCGCUUGGAUUGAAUUGCCUGCACUGACUGUUACUGGAGUUCAUGAUGGAGCUGCAAUAGGAAACUAACACAAAGCAAUAGAAUUGGGCAGAGUUGUGCCGUAUAAUAUCUAAAGUAGGGCCUUAAGGGAUCUACAGUUUCUAAUUUCAUCCCUCUGAAGUCAGAUGUCACGUAGAAGUCCAUUACGGCUAGUCACCAUGCUGUGAGGAAGCUCAAGCUAGCCAGAUGGAGAAGCACCAAGACGCUAGACAUGAAAGUGAAGCCUUGUGGGUUCUUCUAGCCCAGUCCAGCCACCAACUGAAUACAUCUGAGUAAACGAUCCCAGCUGACACCUGUGGAGCAGAACCACCCAGCUGAGCCUGCCUCCGAACUGUGAGAAAGAUUAAGCCACAGUUGUUCAUCUGUUCAACAAAGUCUGCCCGCUGUGCAAUCUGUGGCUCUCCAGGGCUGGGGUGUUGAAGAAAACCUGCUGGCUGUGAAACAGAAGGGGAGUUGUUUUAUUUCAUGCCGGUACUUUUCAGCUCCCUACAGGCUUAACCGCGAACCUGCCCAGCUACUGGAAAUGGCCAUUACUGAUUCUGGCGUUUGAAAAGGCAGUUGGUGGCAAUGUCAACACCACUCGGAUACCUCUUACUAAGGAUGCCAGCGUUGGCUGCACCAAGCUCUCCUGAGAAGCGCCUCAGUCUCCCCGCUACCCACGGGAAGCCGCCGUCUUUCCUAACGGAAGGUGAGUGCCUUCAAAACCAUUGAACCCAACGCCUGCAAAGCUUCACAGGUGCCAGGUGUCCCUCCUUCUGAGGUUGCUGAUUCUUCUACCGUAAGAUGCUGAGCCCUCGUUGAACCUGGACACGCAGGUUAGGAGUUCUCUGGAGGUUCUCUGAUAAGUGCUGUUUGGAAUCCCGGGCAAAGGUCUGUGCGCUUCGAAAACCACUUUGUACCGUGGUUUCCUUUAGAAGCGAGAGCCCCAGCCACGUUCCCCUGCCACCCAACCUUGGUUACUAUCCCGACCGUGACCUGCCCUCUCCAAACAUCCAGUCGCACACUUCUCUUUGGUUCGUCUCUGCUGUUGUGUCCCAUGCUCCUCCAGAUUCUUCUGCGGUGCUGUCUGGCACUAGGAUACCAAGGCGUGAUGGGUUUCACUGGGUAUAAGAAAAGCCCAGUCGUCCUGGGGCACUGAGGGUCAGUCAAAACAGGUCAGGAGGAAGACAUCUAUAGAAAAUGGAGGCACUGUCCCCAGAGGGGUCUUCUAUUCCUUCCACACCACUGCAGUGUUUGUUCAUUCCUCAGAUCCUCAGGCUCCUCGUCGGCACCCGUGCCAUGCCAGCCACUGUCCCCUCCCCCACGGUUCUAAGCACCUCUUUCCGGGCCCCCCACCCUCUCUCCUCUGUGAGGCUCCCAGAGCCCCCUCUGGUGCAGAACCUCCUGCUUCCAGUGUUCAUUGAAUGAAGAAACCUUGCUGUUAAAUUUUAGAAAAAGAUUUUAAAGCUGAGGGGAGGAGGCAGCUCAGGGAAUCUCAAUGCUGCAAAUUGGAGAGUUUAAAACCUAAUUACUGUCUGGCCUCGGCCUCGAAAAAGGCCUCAAUCAAUAUUUAUUGAAUGAUUAAGCAAACUUUACAUUCACACUGUUGGUAAAUAAAAGGAUUUUCCUAAUAAGCAAAUCAUUAGAAGAGAUUGCUAGAAGGAGUUUAACUUAAUUAAGAGGAUACUUCUCGAAUGUUUUGUUCUAUCCAUUCCAAAUAAUAGGCUUCUUACAAUUUUCAAGUGUGCCUUAGGUAUUUGUUAAAGAAUGUCUAAGACUUGUCUCCAUUAGAUAAGAUUUCCUAUCAGUUUGUGUUGGCGCUUAAAAGUAAUAACAGUGAAUGUCUCGUAAAUGGCCUUUUCUCCCAACUUUCUACCGAUUCAAAAUGGAAAUAACUUCUUUUCAUCCGCCCAACACCAAAACGUAUCCUGGCAAGGUAGAUCUUAAGAACACAGCUUAGUGUCUUCGUGGGUCAAAUAGAGAUAGUAAUGGCCAUCAGGGAGCGGUCGUUGAGAAUUCAACGAGAUUGUGACAGGGAAAUAUUUUGACAAAUUUACAAAUGCUUUUUAAACUGUGUAUUUAUUUCCUAGUGUCCCUUGCCCUCCUCCUGAUUCGGUCUGUAGUCUUUCCUUAUCGCCUUGAAGUCAGCUAGCUUUUAUUGCCUCAGGGGAGGAGUGAUAAGGCAGAAAAGCCACAAAACUACCUAGGAGUGGUAAGGAGGCCUUUCGAACUGCCAAAUUUAACCCUUGAAUGAUGGAAGGAAGCAUCAAGUUUGUGGCAUAAAUAUUAAACACGGAAAAACAGAGAACUAGGCAUAUAAAGAUUAUCAAGGCUAUGGAAGGGAGGAGAGAAGCCAAAGGGAGGCAAAACAUUGGUAGUAGUGUCCCUGAGAAAAAGGCUUACCCCAGGGAGGUGGCUCCAGGCAGCAGAAUUUGUCAGGCAGAAGGGCUGAGCGGGGAGGUGGGAGUAUCAGGCUCUCUCCAGAUGCCGGAAACUGUGGCUUGUUCUUGGUGAAGCAGGAGGUAGUUUGGAGGUAGCGGAGAGAACCGUGACUUGGAGGUGUGGAGCGAAGGAGUAACCCAGGCAGGGUCCUGAUGGGAUGUCAAGUCUGGCAGUUGGGACUGAUAAAGUUAAUUUGUAUACCGGGACCCACAAAAUGGAGGCUCACGUCACAAAUCUAAACCCAAGUCAGCCUGUGCUUCGGAAAAACAUCUGUCAGGGAAACCUAACACACACCGAUCACAAUCCUCCACCUCAGCUUUAGCGAGCUUACCUUACCCUAGGAAACAAGACCUGUUAGACUUAGAAGGAAACCCUCAUCAAUCAUGCCCUGUUUCCACAUUGCCUCUUCUAACGCCCUAUAAAACUCGCUCUUGCCCAAACACCCUUGGGAACAGUGCUCUACUACUUGUGAGGCACUACUCCCCUCGUCUGUGGAGGGUUUUCCCUUGAAUAAAGGACAUUAAACUCAAAUUGCUUCAGUUCUGUCACUUGACAGGAUGUAAUGGCAGAUGCCACUAUGGAUAGAUGGACACCAGGACAUGGAAUCCCAGCCUCUUCCCAUCACCUGGAAACUCAGGCAAAACCUGGAAUAGAGCAGGAGCCAAAAUCAACUGGAAUUAAGUUUCUGCCACCAAGAAGAAUGGGCAUUAAAAAGAGAAGUUAAAGCCAUUUUAGGGGCUCCUGGGUGGCUCAGUCAGUUAAGCACUCCCCUCUUGAUUUCAGCUCGGGUCAUG